UACGUAGGGUGCAAGCGUUGUCCGGAAUUAUUGGGCGUAAAGAGCUCGUAGGCGGUUUGUCGCGUCUGCCGUGAAAGUCCGGGGCUCAACUCCGGAUCUGCGGUGGGUACGGGCAGACUAGAGUGAUGUAGGGGAGACUGGAAUUCCUGGUGUAGCGGUGAAAUGCGCAGAUAUCAGGAAGAACACCCGUGGCUAAGGCGGCUCUCUAGUACGGUACUGACGCUGAGACGCGAAAGCGUGGGGAGCGAACAGG
rnacentral:rRNA from 1 species